UCCUUUUUUGUUUAUAGGAAACAGCUGGAGAAAAUGACACACUGGUUUCAUAGGAAUCCGUUAAAAGCCACAGCUCCUGUCGCUUUUAACUACUAUGGUGUAGCCGCUGGCCCUGCUGCUUCAAAAAUUUGCAGUGACUUGAGAUCAUCCAGAGCACGACUGCUUGAACUCUUCACUGAUUUGAGCUGUAAUCCAGAAAUGAUGAAGAAUGCAUCAGAUUCCUAUUUUUCACUUUUACAAGGUUUCAUAAAUUCAUUGGAUGAAUCUACCCAAGAAAGCAAGUUACGAUAUAUUCAAAAUUUCAAAUGGACUGAUACAUUACAAGGACAGGUUCCAAGUGCCCAGCAGGAUGCUGUUUUUGAAUUAAUUUCCAUGGGAUUUAAUGUAGCUUUAUGGUAUACCAAAUAUGCUUCAAGACUGGCUGGAAAAGAAAACAUAACAGAAGAUGAAGCAAAAGAAGUCCAUCGAAGCCUAAAAACUGCAGCGGGGAUUUUUAAACAUUUAAAGGAAAGUCAUAUCCCAAAGCUUAUUACACCUGCAGAAAAGGGGAGGGAUUUAGAGGCACGACUACUAGAAGCUUAUGUUGUCCAGUGUCAGGCUGAAGCUCAAGAA